UGACCUCGGAUCAGACGUGAUUACCCGCUGAAUUUAAGCAUAUUAUUAAGCGGAGGAAAAGAAACUAACAAGGAUUCCCCUAGUAACGGCGAGUGAACGGGGAAGAGCCCAACACCGAAUCCCUUGGCGCAAAGUCAACGGGAAAUGUGGUGUUAAGGUAGCCCUUCGUGUCAGUCUAGGCGUCUCAAGUCCACCUGAUUGUGGCUCAAGCCCAGAGAGGGUGUAAGGCCCGUAGAGACGCUCCGACUGAUUCCUGGGGUUUACCUACGAGUCGGCUUGUUUGGGAAUGCAGGCCAAAGCGGGUGGUAAACUCCAUCCAAGGCUAAAUACUGGCACGAGUCGCGAUAGCGACCAAGUACCGUGAGGGAAAGUUGAAAG
rnacentral:ncRNA from 1 species